GUACUCACUUCGAGAUACAUAUACUAAAAUUGGAACGAUACAGAAAAGAUCAGCAUAGCCAAUGGGCAAGGAUGAAACGCAAAAUCGUGAAAUGCUGUACAUUUUU
rnacentral:snRNA from 1 species